rnacentral:ncRNA from 2 species
GAAUCUAAUCCUGUUCUUUAAAAGAAAACCCUCUCACAAACGGAAGUCCGUUGGAUUCGGACGCGGUCGCGCCGCUGUGAUAACUGUAAGCUUUCCGAAUAACCACUGCAAAGCAAUUUGCGGGAAGGUCGGGAAUCUUGGAUUUGUGCAAAUCCGCAGUUUUAGCCAGAAGACGUGUGUUGAUAAGGGUAUUCUC